GUGCACCAAUAAACUGGAUGCCAACAGCCGUAAAAUAUCAAGAAGAAGUAGAAGAAGAGAACACGAGACAUUUUCUAUCUCUUUGCACACUGCUGCUGUGUGUGUCUUGCUGGUGACAGUGACAUAAUUCAUUUCCUGCAGGACACCGCUACAACUUUGUCUUCCACACGAGUUUUCACGCGGCACGGCACUGGAAGCUCGCAACGCCGACCCCCUGCACUGCUGCUGUGUGUGUCUUGCUGGUGACAGUGACAUAAUUUAUUUCCUGCAGGACACCGCUACAACUUUGUCUUCCACACGAGCUCUACAGUGAAUUCCACAGGAUCACCAAUCAAAAUCUACUGUAUUCCUUCUAUGCUGCACUUGACAAGUACACACCUCAGCUGUUGAAGCUCUACAAAAAGAGGAAGACUGGAAGUUUUGGUGAGAAGAUGGAAGACGUUUUGAGGGCAUAUGAGGAACAGGACAAGAACAACAUCACUGCAGCUCGAACAGCAGCCCUGGCUGGCCUACCACUGUACUUAAAGGAGGAUUCAUCAGAGGUCUUCAAAACCUGCAAGGAUGAGUUGGAGUCAAUCCAGGAUGGAGCAGUGGCUCUGGUGGCAGUGGUGAAUGAAGAGGAUGUGCCUGCUGGAGUUCCCUUUGAAAGUCACCACGUGUCAAUUGUCCUUGAGGAUCAGGUUGUAAUGUCUCACAGAUCUUGGACUGAUUCAUUGGUGAUUUUGUUUGGAAUGAUCUAUGCUCUUCAUUUGAGCUAUCCUGAGAAGCUAAGUGGCUUCUUUGAGUUCAUCCAGGUUAUCCUCUUAAACCUUGAUGAUGGAAGAAAGCAGCUCAAACCUAAGUUACAAGCCUUGAGAAAUGAGCUAUAGAGUAAAUGUGUUAACGUUCUUCUGUAGAAGGUCAGUAGUGUUCUGAAAAGUAUCUUUUUGCUUGCAUUCCAAAAAUGUUUCUGUUUAGAUUUCUGUGUUGCAACAGAUACUUGUGUACAUAAUUACAGCUGGGUUGGUUGGCUUUCUACUUUCUACUAGCUGAAGUUUAGAAACACGGGCACUAAUUUAGAAACAAACACGAUAAUUUAUUUUCUAUUUUUAGGUGAGUCUUAAUUAUAAUUUUAUUUUUAUCUGAGUCUUAAUUUCAUAGUGUU
ensembl:lncRNA